GCGACAAGUGGUACGAUUAAAGGCCUCCGUUCAGUUGCGUACGAACCUGUAUGCCGAUCUGUCACUUGGCGAGUAUAGAACCGCCCUUAGCGAUCGAUAUGACCUACCAGAAACGAGUUUGCGUAGCGCCGGCUCUUACGCGGCCUAACGUGUAAACAGGCCUUAAGUGAUUUUGAAUCUAAAUAAAAGUAUGAAGUUUUAGCAAAUGUUUGAAAAGUACUGUUUCGGUGUGAUUAUAGUGAUUUAUUUUCGAGUGAUUUUUUUGUGAAUUGAGAAGAAAACAUGUUACAAUUGAUGUUUCCAAAUAAAAAUGGACCAAACGCUGUUUUGUCUCGUCUGAAGGAUACGUCGCCAAGAUACAGGACACUAUGUUCUGAAUCGGGCCCCACCCCCGACAUGCAGAUCUCGGAGGCCGCCGGAGGCGUACCCGCCCCCGGUGUGGAGCCCUGUCGGUUCCCAAAGCUGGAGGAAUGUGCCCACUUCCAUUACGAACGGGUCCAGUUGCUCCCGCUCCAGGUAGCGCUCCAAACCAACAUGGACCAGUCGCUACACUCUCAGCACACUAACGAAGAUGAUACUGAGUGGUUUAUGGUACAAGUGACGUCUGCGGAAGAAUGUUGGCUGGUCCAACGAAACUUUGAGAACUUCCGCAUGCUCGACCAACAACUCCACCAGUGCAUCUUCGAUAGAAAAAUAUCCCAGCUGGAAGAUUUGGAAGAUGUGUCUUCGAACGAAGAAGAUCUUGAGCAAAUAUUGGCCAUGUAUCUGGAACGGCUAAGUCAAAUAGCAGACAAUUCGGUGAACUGCGGUCCAGUUCUGAACUGGCUUCAGAUGGACAAUAAGGGACAUCGGCUGUUAGUACCUAGCGAAGAAAGUCGCAGCAUCAACACUCCCGCAGUAGCUGCAGCUUACAGCGUUCGAAGAUACGUCUCUCAGGCAAGGGACGAGUUAAAUUUGGAAGUGGGUGACAUGAUAUCCGUCAUUGACAUGGCCAGCCCCGGAGAAUCGAUGUGGUGGAGGGGCAAGAGGGGAUUUCAGGUGGGUUUUUUCCCGCAACACUGCGUGCACAUCAUCGGAGAUAAGGUGCCGAGAAAUAUGCCUCUCCCACCUCCAGUUGUCGGAUCGUUGGCGCUGACCACAGUCAAACCGGUUCUGCGCAGGCACGGCAAGUUGGUGACCUUUUUCCGCGGCUUCCUAUUGAACAGGCCGUCGCGGCGUCGCCUCAAGCAGAGCGGCAUCCUCAGAGAGCGGGUGUUCGGCUGCGACUUGGGCGAGCACCUGCUGAACUCGGGCAAGGCCGUACCCACCGUGCUCAAGAGCUGCGCGGAGUUCAUCGAGGCCAAAGGCAUCGUCGACGGCAUUUACAGACUGUCCGGAAUCACCUCGAAUAUUCAAAAACUAAGAAAUGCAUUCGACGAGGACAGGGUGCCCGAUUUAUACACUGAAGAUAUUCUGAAAGAUAUUCAUUCAGUUGCCUCUUUGCUGAAAAUGUAUUUUAGGGAAUUACCUAAUCCUCUUUGUACAUACCAGCUUUACCAGAGUUUCGUAAACGCAGUUCAAGGCUGCGGCACCGCCAUAAGAACCACCGAGACUGAUCACGAAAGAUUGCUGAAAAUGAGGGAGGCCGUCCAAAAACUGCCCCCUCCUCAUUAUAGAACUCUAGAGUACCUGAUGCGUCACUUAGCCAGGGUUGCCAAUUAUAGCGGCAGCACUGGUAUGACGACGAGAAACUUGGCAAUAGUGUGGGCGCCUAAUUUGCUGCGGUGCGAGGCUUUGGAAGUGGGAGGAGUCGCUGCCCUCCAAGGAGUGGGAGUACAGGCUGUAGUAACGGAGUUUUUAAUUUGUUAUGCUGAUCUAAUCUUCAGCGAUCACUUACCUAACAUCGACCAGCCCGACCUGGCCGACAAGGAAAAUCUUUUGGCCAAAAAAUGCCGACCUAAUAGUCUAGCUAUAUCUACGCCUACCAAACUUAUUACUUUAGAAGAAGCUAGAAAUAAACAUUUAAGUAAUAAAACAGAAGACUGCAAUUACAUCGAAGUUGGAGGUGGACCGAGCAACUUGCCUAAGAAAUAUCAUACUAUUAUCGAUCUACCUCCAGGUACAAGAAAAAGAGGCCAUACCAAAAGGUCUCCAUUGGGCUGGCGAAUGUUCUUUACUAGAUCUUCGAGGAACAGUGAUCGAGGUAGCGUGAAUAAAAACAGGAAAGCUUCCACGCCCAUCACAAUUAAUGACAAAUCUGUGACCGAGUCUGAUUUGACUGAUAUGAGGCGAAAACUACGGACAGUCAAAUCUGCCGAAAGCCUGACAUCAGGUCAUUCGGAACCGGCCAACACAGAAGAUGUUUUAGGACCGUUACAUUCUUUAAUAAAACCUCCGGGACACAACAGGUCGGUGUCACACGAUUCGUACUUCGACAAUCUGCAAACGUCUAGGGAUAAUUCUGAGGGAUCUCUGUUGGACCUGAGCGAGAUUCAUCUGAACUUUGAUCUGGAAGAAUCGGAAAUGAGGAUUUUUUCGGAAGACGAAAGUUUGGUUAGUUCACCUAGAAUACAACGAGAUUCGGGCCAAAAACGGAUUUUAAGCAGAGCAAGACCGGAAGAGUUUACCAGUGCCGGAAAUUCUGUUAAUCCGUCGCCCAAAAAACAAGCGAGAGCCGUACUUUCGCCAGAUACCUUGUCACGAAAAAGGACGAGGCUAGAGGAUCAACUAUCCGACAUCCAGUACAUCGAUUGCGGUACCCCCGAUAAUCUCGUUAGUACCACCGCAGUCAUUCACCCCACGCCAAAUAGUCCGAAAAAAUCGGAACCUAUCGAACCCAAACGCCAAUCGCUAAAUUUGGAUAACGGCCCGAAAAAGUAUUCGCUUACGAAGUCCUUUACCGAUGUUGAUAUUAACAGACAGUUCGUUGAGAGCACGAGCGUGCUAACAACACCCGGCUCUCCGAGGUACCAACGCCUAGGAGAUUCAACCAGUACCGGUUACGAAAGCUCCCCAUCCGAAAUCACUUAUCAAAAUUUGCAUAAAAGUGAUACAGACUCUCUGCAGAAAGCUUCCACACCAAACUACGAGAAUAUCCUCACUACCAUCAGUAUCACGUACAAAUCACCACCGAGAAGCGCUUCAGCCUCACCUUUGAAAAGUCCAGAGUACGAGAAUGUGAUUUUAAACCCGGAAAAGGUGGAAAUUCCUACAAGCACGGCAUCGUUGCCAGUCCAAGAAGCGUCGCAGCCAGACCUGGAAGAACGGCCUAGGAGUUUUAGCGGUUCAACUGAUUCGACGACGGUUAAAGCCAUGUGCAGCACCAGCGAGCAACUGUCCCUGACUAGUUUGAACGAUCAAAGAUCGGCUAGUUCCAAUCGGAGCUCGGGUUCGAACAUACAGUACACCGCUAGCUUGAGUUCGACGCCUUACCAGUGCAUGGAGAAUUCCUCCACGGAUCUGAGCUUGAGCGAGGUGGUCCAGAGCCCCACCGAUUCUAGUCAGACUUCGAUCAGUACGCCCCAAAGCCCGUCGAAGAGUCCCAACGUUAGUCCCUCCACGGACAGCAGGAACGAUAUCUUACUUGGUAGUCCCGUGCGGUCUAAUUCGCAAAACGACAAACGAAAGUCAGACGAUACAGAGUCGUAUGACGAGAACGCCAUCUACCAGCAAGUAAAGUAUUUUAGAAGGUCGAUUCAUGAAGUUAACGCGUUGCUGUCCAUGGAAAACGAUGAAAAACCUGAGGAUAAAAACGAUGGACAAAAGGAGGCGGAGGAUGAAGCGGAUGGCGAUUCUUUAGAAGAAGACUGUCACGUUUACGAAAACGUCGAUGCGGAAAGUAUGAAAAGUAAUGAAAAGACUGAAGAAAGAUGCAACGUAAAAGAUUUGAUGAGUAGGUUUGAAGAUGCCGGGCCUAAAAUCGUUAACGAAUCCAAGCCCGAGGAGAAAAACUCGAAACCGCCAAAACUACGGGUGUUUUACGAAAAGGAUAUUCUACCUCCGUGUUUGAGAGCGCGCAAUCUGAAAAACCAACUGAAAACCCGAUCGUUAGACGAGAAUGAGUUUGAAAAAGAGUGCGGACUGAUGAAAGCUAACCAGCGGAGGAAAUCCAUGGAAGAGAACGUGGGUUACAAAACGAAUUCGCUUCCGAAAACUUUGAAUUUACCAAAGACUCUCCCUAAGGAUGAGCCGGGACAGCUGGAGUCUAUUCAUUUAGGUCACAGCGCCGAAAAAUUGCCCGGAGAUGAAAAAAUCAGCGAGGAUGAAGAACAAAAGAAGAGGGAAAGGAUUGAGAAGUACAAGGAAGAGAGGAGGAAGAUUUUAAGCGAAAAGUUCAGGUCCGAAUCUUUUAAGGAAGAUAAGGAGGUACUUAUGUCUCGACUGAAAAUAUACAAAGUCAAAGACGACGUUAUCGAUACUGCACCACUGCUACCUCCGAAAGUUGAUUCGGAAAAGCCUCCACGAGUGAGACGAAUCAGUAACGAGUCCAAGGAUAGUGACACGAAGAGCUCUACACCGUCUCCUAAAAAAGAAGCGAAAACGCAAAAUACCGGCAGCCUGAAGGUGCGGGCGGCCAUUUUUGAGCAAAACCAAAAAGUAGCCCCGGUCAAAAUGGAGUUUGUUCGAAAUAAUAAGGAAAAGGACAAAAGUUUCGGAAGAUUUCUGGAAAAAAGUUAGCGACAAAUCAAGUCUCGAUGAUAUAGCAGAUGAUCUGAAGGAACUAGAAUUCAUAAGGCAUAAAAGAAGAGACAUGGGAGAAGAAGAACGAAGAAGACAUACUUAUGAGACAAGGGAGAGGGAAACUGACUUAGAGCGACAGCGGCGAGUUAGCUUAGAGAGCAGAAAUAGUCCCAGAAAGGAGAGAGCUUCUCCGACUUACUGCAUCAAAGACAUGAAAGCCAUCUUCGAAUCAAAAUGUAAACAAUAGCCUAUAGAUAUUUAUACAUAUAUACAAAUAAAAACAAUUUGAUAUUAAACGAAAGUACUAAAGAAUUUGCUUAAAAGUUGACCAAAUCUUAUUAUAUUUUGUUCUAGAAGAUUGCUCUAAGGUAUUUUGUAUAUAUAAGUUUGUGUAUUCUUAUACACAUGCAUCUAUAUAUUUUUUAAAGCCUUUAAAGCUAGAUGAAGACCGAUUUUCGAUUUUUGGAGUUCAAGUUAAUAUUUACUAGGGUAGGCUUAAAACAUAUUGUUAUUGAUCUGAUGUUUUUAGAAUAUUUGCCAUUUUAUUGACAGAUCUGUUGUAUGAAAUUCUAUUAGAUAGAUAAAUAAAUUGGAAUAAUUCAUGUGUACGACAUCUUGACACAUCUUAAAUUCUACAGGGUGUUGUAUAAAGUAACAUGAAAUAAUGUUACUUCUUGCCUAGUACGUCUUAAAGUUUAUCUUUUGAAUUCGCCCUGUUUCAAAAUAAAUAUUUGCAAAUUGCGUAAAAAACGUGAGGUAACCAUAGAUAUAUAAAGUAACAAAUUGUGUCAAAUCAAUCGCGCAUCAUGUUGAUCAACGAUUUUAUACAAAAUAUGCUUUUUAUCUUAAGGUAUAAACAACUUUGAAAAAAUAUAAAUUUUAAAUAUUCUAAAUUUCUUGGAUGCAGUGAGAAAUUUUAUUAUAUGCUUUUAUGAACUUAUUUUCAAUUUUUUUUUGAUCUUGUGCCAUAAUUUUACUCUAUAUUAUACCAUUUCUUUUUUAGGCUACUACUAUUUUGGUAAAUAUAUUUAUAUUGGUGUUCUUGUUAAAUAAGUUUUAUGUUAUAUUUUUACAAUUCUGCUUUUUGACUACUUUGAGUUUAUUGUUAAAAAUAUAAAUGUUUAUGAACUGUACAGAGUAGUACACUUAGUGUGGCCUUAGUUUUGGUUAGUUACAUGCAACAUGGUGAUUUUUAACAUGUUGCAAUUUCCAACACAAAUGAAAAAAACGGAUUCUUAUAGAACUUUUUCCUUGGAAUCCAGUGGCGUAGUUAUUUUUUUCAUAAUGUUUUGUUUUUGAUAUAGAACACCCUGUAUAUAGAGUAUACAGACAGUUUAUAAACAAAUAAAUUUAUUAGAAGAAACUAAAACAAAUAUAACCAAAAUAGUAGACUCUGUACAAAGAUAGAAAAGUUUAGUUUUUUUUAGAAUCAUGUUUUAUUCUUUAAUGACUAGCACUAAAUAAAUCAUCACCAUCUUCUAUUACUGUUAUAUAUCUAUGAAUCAAAAUUAAUAAAUACGAAUAUUAUUUUUGUAAGUACAUGGGCGGAUACAAAACACUGUACCAAAACUACUUGUUAAACAAUCAAAUAUAGAAUUUUCGUCAAAAAGUAUUAUAGCUAUAUAGAAGUAAAUGCUCGAUUUUUGCUAAUAACAUAUGAUCAUAAAUAAAUAAAGUUAAGCUUAUCUUCAAGUCGUACGUAGCGUUUUUUUUGUUGACAUUUUAACGUCAUAAAUCAACUUAGCCACAUUUAUUUAUGAUUGUAACCGUACAACAGAAAUACGAAUGUGAUAAAUAUAUAUUUUUGUGUACAUUUAAAUAGUCAGUUUUUUUGUAAUUUCUUUUAUACUCGAAUUUGUGAAGUUUCCGUGUAAUUUAGUUUAAUCAAAGUGAUAUGAAUAUAGACAAAAAAGAAAUCAAGAUAUAGAUCGCUUUAAUUUUAAAGAGACGCAUGUAAGGAUAUUUAUGAGUAAAAGAGUUUCAUUAUGUAUAAUUUCAUAUUUCGUGUUUGUGUUUUAUGCACGAAAUACCUCUU
rnacentral:misc_RNA from 1 species